GAUUAACGCUAGCGGCAGGCAUAAUACAUGCAAGUUGAACGGCAGCACAGGUAGCACUACUGGGUGGCGAGUGGCGCACGGGUGCGUAACACGUAUGCAACCUACCCUAUACAGGCGAAUAACCUUUAGAAAUGAGGGCUAAUACGCCGUAGUAUUACAGAUGGGCAUCUAUUUGUAAUUAAAGAUUUAUCGGUAUAGGAUGGGCAUGCGUCCCAUUAGUUAGUUGGUAAGGUAACGGCUUACCAAGACGAUGAUGGGUAGGGGAUCUGAGAGGACUUACCCCCAGACUGGUACGGAGACACGGACCAGACUCCUACGGGAGGCAGCAGUAAGGAAUAUUGGGCAAUGGCCGCGAGGCUGACCCAGCCAUGCCGCGUGCAGGAAGACGGCCUUAUGGGUUGUAAACUGCUUUUAUACGGGAAUAAUAGAGUGUACGCGUACAUUUAUGCAAGUAUCGUAUGAAUAAGCAGCGGCUAACUCCGUG
rnacentral:rRNA from 1 species